rnacentral:rRNA from 1 species
ACGGCUGAGUAACACGUGGCUAACCUAUCCUCGGGAGGGGGAUAACACCGGGAAACUGGUGCUAAUCCCCCAUAGGGGAGGAGGCCUGGAAGGGUUCCUCUCCGAAAGGGCGUAGCGGGGGUUAUCGCCGCUACGCCGCCCGAGGGUGGGGCUACGGCCCAUUAGGUUGUUGGCGGGGUAACGGCCCGCCAAGCCGAUAAUGGGUAGGGGCCGUGAGAGCGGGAGCCCCCAGAUGGGCACUGAGACAAGGGCCCAGGCCCUACGGGGCGCACCAGGCGCGAAACCUCCGCAAUGCGGGAAACCGUGACGGGGUCACCCCGAGUGCCCCCGAUAAGGGGGCUUUUCCCCGCUGUAGGAAGGCGGGGGAAUAAGCGGGGGGCAAGUCUGGUGUCAGCCGCCGCGGUAAUACCAGCCCCGCGAGUGGUCGGGACGAUUAUUGGGCCUAAAGCGCCCGUAGCCGGCCCGGCAAGUCCCCUCCUAAAACCUCGGGCUCAACCCGAGGGGUGGGGGGGAUACUGCCGGGCUAGGGGGCGGGAGAGGCCGAGGGUACUCCCGGGGUAGGGGCGAAAUCCUAUAAUCCCGGGAGGACCACCAGUGGCGAAGGCGCUCGGCUGGAACGCGCCCGACGGUGAGGGGCGAAAGCCGGGGGAGCGAACCGGAUUAGAUACCCGGGUAGUCCCGGCUGUAAACUAUGCGGGCUAGGUGUUGGGUGGGCUUAGAGCCCACCCAGUGCCGCAGGGCAAGCCGUUAAGCCCGCCGCCUGGGGAGUACGGCCGCAAGGCUGAAACUCAAAGGAAUYGGCGGGGGAGCAC